GUCAGGAUGGCCGAGCGGCUUAAGGCGCCAGAGUCAAGGUGAACCUUCCCAGUGCGUUUGAUCGUUCUGGCGUGGUGGGUGUGGGUUCGAAUCCCACUUCUGACA
rnacentral:tRNA from 1 species